UUCAUAUUUAUCCAAAUAUAAAAGUUGGGCAGCCACCUUUUCUUUCAAUCCUUAUCCAAGGAAUAUAUAAUACCUUUUGGGGCUCAUAUCUCUCCACCUCCUCAAAUUUUGUUUUCUCUAGAAAGAGGAGACCCCAAAACUCCUCUCCUCUCAUCAAAUUCUCCCACUAAAUCACUAACAAGACUUGUUUUGGUUGAGCCACAAGCUACUCCACUCUAUUGAGAUGUGGAUUUCCGGUGGUGUUAAGGAUUUCAUUGUCCGAUGACAAUCUGGGAAGGAGAUUUUGGGGUUGUCAAAACUAUAAGGUGAGAGGUCGGUCUUCUUGCAAAUUUUUCGAUUGGUAUGAGCCACCAUUUUCGGAGCAAGCUAAUAUUGUUAUUUGGGGUUUGUUGAAGAAGAAAAAUAGAUAUGAGCAAGAAUUGAAGUGGUCAAGAACAUAGAAGAUUUGCCUAUGCAUUAGUAUGCUAUGUAAUUUGAUGUUUUAUCUUGGCACACAAUCUGGUUCUGGUUGAAGUAGUACUAAUUAGGUUGAAGUUCUUCUAUUUAUGUACUUAUUUAGUUGAAGCUCUAUUAUGUAUGUACUAAUUAGGUUGAAAUGGCUAUGAUGAUUAACAAUGUCAUCUGAUUUUGG